GCAGGGCAGGGCAGAAGUGCAGGCACAUCCCACCACUGGACCUAGUGGUGGGCAGUGACUGGGCAAACUUCCUAUCUUUACUAUAAGGCUAUCUGCUCAAAAUUUUUUGAGAAUUCGUAAUCACUUAGAGACUACAAAAUUCAUGUAGAAGGGUUUGAGAAAAGAGGAAGGAAGGAAAAGAAGAGAAGAAGGUAAUGAACAAGGAAUAAAUGGCACAGAAGAUGAAGGAACACCAAGUGAAAACUCAGAAACUCCAGUGAAUAGGACUUGGACUUUGGAAAUCUCACAACAAAACUCAAAAUAUUAGGACAGGUUGAAGAAAAUUGGGAAAAGUACUUAAAAAGCAAAAUAGGUCAUGUGGCAACAGAGGCACAUGAAAUAAAACAAUAAGACAAUGUUUUAAAAUCCA
rnacentral:lncRNA from 1 species